GUCUCUCGCCCCUCCGAGCUUCGGCUCUGAUGCUGUCUGGAGGCCGCUCCGGCUCUGCGAGGGGGGUUCCAUUGUAGGAUGCGUCGGGUGGUCGGGCGUAUCCACGCUGCCACCUCCUUCAUCGCCAGCCUGUAGGGUUGUCUUCGGGCUUUAAGUUGUGCCCAGAAAUAGGUGCGUAGCCGGUCAAUGAAAACCCCUGUGUGCUUGGGUGGC